GAUGAACGCUGGCGGCGUGCCUAAUACAUGCAAGUCGAGCGAACAGACGAGGAGCUUGCUCCUCUGACGUUAGCGGCGGACGGGUGAGUAACACGUGGAUAACCUACCUAUAAGACUGGGAUAACUUCGGGAAACCGGAGCUAAUACCGGAUAAUAUAUUGAACCGCAUGGUUCAAUAGUGAAAGACGGUUUUGCUGUCACUUAUAGAUGGAUCCGCGCCGCAUUAGCUAGUUGGUAAGGUAACGGCUUACCAAGGCAACGAUGCGUAGCCGACCCGAGAGGGUGAUCGGCCACACUGGAACUGGGACACGGUCCAGACUCCUACGGGAGGCAGCAGUAGGGAAUCUUCCGCAAUGGGCGAAAGCCUGACGGAGCAACGCCGCGUGAGUGAUGAAGGUCUUCGGAUCGUAAAACUCUGUUAUUAGGGAAGAACAAAUGUGUAAGUAACUAUGCACGUCUUGACGGUACCUAAUCAGAAAGCCACGGCUAACUACGUG
rnacentral:rRNA from 1 species